CGGUACCGGCGCUUUCGUUUUUCCUUCCGAACCACAGGCUGCCUCGAGCGCUGUUUUAAGAGAGGAGUUAAAAACGGCGGACUUGGGGUCGGGGUUAGGGAAACUCCGCUGCCCCCGGGGUCAGGCGCACGCCCGGCGUUCCCGGGGAUUUGCGCCCUCUCUCCGUCCACCAGGCCCAAGGGGCUUGCUCGCGGAUUUUAAGACUCUGCCUUCCCAAAGGGUGGAGAGAGCUCCCUCCAAAUCCUCCCAAGUGCACUGGAGCCCCGGGGGGGGGGGGGGUUGGGGGGUUGCCCCCGCGAAGUCAGCACCCUCAGGACUGCAAACGACUGAUGGAAAAACCCCAGCCGGCCUUAGCACUGGCAGAAACAUCACAGUUUUAGCACUUACAUUGAAGUACUUGACUAUGUUGAGUGAAAUUUGGUAUCUGGUGUAAGGUGGCGCCGGCUGCUCCAGACUUACCUGCUUCAGCUCUGUAUUCCCUGUGGAAAAUGCAUGCCUCCUUCCUGGCCACUGCAGCAAGUCUAGUGCCUUCAUUCCGAUGUGCCCAGCUGUGGUCCCCUGCCCGUCCCUCACCGGGGACAGAGAAUGUGAGAAGGAAGGAAGGCUGUCCAGGCUUAACUACCAGGACUCUGCUCAACACUGAGGGAUACAAGCUCCUGACAUCAUCACUUCACCAUCCCUAGGUGUGAUCUACCUCUUCAUGGAUCAGUAUUCCAGAUGUCUAUGAUCGCUCAGGUUGAAAUUCAAUGAGCUAAGGCCCCAGAAGCACUUAAAGCGUGGUGUCUGGAACAGAGACCUAUGUUCAGUAAAUGCUAGGAAAUGGAGGCUGGAACAUCCAAAGUGGUUUCCCUGAUGUGUCUGGCACCCCAGGCGGGAUGACUGGAAGGCCGGGUCUCUCUCUCUCUCUCUCUCUCUCUCUCAAUCUGUCUCCAAAUAGCAAGGGGCCCUCCUUACAUGGCAGCUGGAUCUCAAGAUUAGGAGUUCCCAGAGGAAAGAAGUCCUUCUUCUUCACCUCAGAUUGUCAUAUGAUAGUUAAAUAAUCUUGAAUAAAUUCAUCUUUGUUUAAAAAAGUUUACUAUUUU